rnacentral:rRNA from 1 species
UUGACCUCAAAUCAGGUAGGACUACCCGCUGAACUUAAGCAUAUCAAUAAGCGGAGGAAAAGAAACUAACAAGGAUUCCCCUAGUAACUGCGAGUGAAGCGGGAAAAGCUCAAAUUUAAAAUCUGGCGGUCUUGCGGCCAUCCGAGUUGUAAUCUGGAGAAGCGUUUAUCCGCGUCGGACCGUGUACAAGUCUUCUGGAAGGGAGCGUCGUAGAGGGUGAGAAUCCCGUCUUUGACACGGACAACCGGU